UACAGAGGGGGCAAGCGUUGUUCGGAACUACUGGGCGUAAAGGGCGCGUAGGCGGCCUGCUAAGUCGAACGUGAAAUCCCUGGGCUCAACCCAGGAACUGCGUCCGAUACUGGCAGGCUUGAAUCCGGGAGAGGGAUGCGGAAUUCCAGGUGUAGCGGUGAAAUGACUGUAGAUAUCUGGAGGAACACCGGUGGCGAAGGCGGCAUCCUGGACCGGCAUUGACGCUGAGGCGCGAAAGCUAGGGGAGCA
rnacentral:rRNA from 1 species